rnacentral:lncRNA from 1 species
AAAAGAAGAUAGAAUGUUUGGAUAAAAUGACGUUUUUGCCCUUCGAGGCGGUCACAUGGAUAGCACAUGACAUAUUUAACAGAAGAAUGGAUGGAAAAUUCAGAAAAUUUAACAACAGGGGGAAAUUGACUAUUAUGAGAGUUGAGGGAGGAAAUUGGCCGAAAUUAAAGUUGAAGGGGAAUUUGGCCAAUCCUCACAAAUUCAAGGGGUAAAUUGAUAAAUACAUUUUUAUAAUAAUCAAACUUAUAUGAGGGAAAUGCCACUAGCACUAUGGUCUAAAAUAUUUUUCUCUACUUUAAGAAGUCUUAUGUUUGACUCUUAUAGGUGACGACUUUUAUGACUUACCGGUUGUGUGACUAGCGAUUUUGAGCUCAACUGGGGCAAAUUUAGUAGUUGAGUAUAUUUUGAGCUCAUAUUGACUCUUGCUAACCAUUUUGCUGGUUUACUAUAUUUACAUUUUACAUGUGCAUAAAAAUUAAAAAUAUUAAUUUACUAAUAUUAUUUUUUUUGGUCAAGAAUUUACCAGUAUUGAGAAUACAUGUUUAUAGAAUUGGUCUAUAAUCUAUAGUUUUUAGUCAAAAUAGUCUCUAAGAUUUCAUCUCUUCAUUUUGGUUUUGAGACUUGAAAUCAAUUGAGGUGGUCAUUGAGUUUGUUCAUCAUCAAUCAUUUUGGUCAUUCCUUGAAAAAUCUCCAUUAAAUAAGAAUAAAAAAAAAUAUCCUGAAUUUUUGUCAAAACAUUUUGACCUAUUCUUUAACAAGGAAAACACUAAAUUAAUGGGUAACUGAAGGUUUUCAUUUUGAUGAUGGCUCAUAAAGUCAUUAUUUCAAAUGUAUUUUCUAAAUUAAUGGGUAACUGAAGGUUUCAUUAUAUUUAAUAAGGAAAACACUAAAAUUGAAUAAUCUAUUGGCUUUAUGUUAUUUAUGAAGAAUCGGAGAGAAAAGAGAUUCAUGUAUUCAUGAUUUUUUUUUAGUCAAACGAUAAAUUUUGUUAAAUUAGUCUCUGAUGAGGUUUGAAUACACAUCAUCGUGUAAAAGCUCAAUACCUUUUUACUAUUGCGGUAAAUGUCACUUACAUGUAUUCAUGAAAUUGGAUGAACCCUAAACCCUCGUAAGAGAUUAGUCUUACCUGAAUCCGGUAUAGAGGAAGAGGGAAAGAGAUGAGGAUGGGCAAUUGCCAUCGCAACCGAUGACUGGCAAGUGGGGUUGGAGUCGUGGAGGCGAAGGACUGGGAUUGGUAUUUGUCAGGGACAGGGACGGAGGGUGGUUGCUAGUUUUUGUUUUUUUUUCAAGUAUUUAAUUUGUAAUCCCUUAUAAGAAAUUAUAAAUCCACCCAUAACAAAACGGUCCACACGUCAAAUUUUAAAUGAGUAGCAUGGAUGAUGUGGUACUACAGUAUUAUCUAAUAACCCGCCAAGAUUAAUCAAUUAUUCAGAUAAUGUUAUAAAUAGGCAAAAUUUAUAGAGAGAUAACCUUUAAUCGGUGAAUGAACGAAGCUGUUGCAGAGGAAGUAAUGUAUAUUAUUGCUAUUAGAUAUAUUUCUCUUUUCUUUCUUCUUCUCAUUCACUAUUUUGCACAAAUGAAGUGCUCUAUUUAUAGAGCCACUUCAAUGGAAAAUUACAAAACAUUACUAUUUAUCUUUUUUGUAUAUAGUACACACAUGUGAUACUUUACUAUACACAUUACUAUACACAUGUGGGCAAACAUACCCAUUAUUUACAACACUCCCCCCUUGGAUGCCCACAUAUCAACAUCAGUUGCCUCAUUAAAACCUUGCUUGGAAAAACCCUGUGGGAAAAAACCAUAGCGAAGGAAAAAGAGUACAACUUUACCUGGAUGGUGUUGAGCAUGCUUAGGUUGCCUCGUUAAAACCUUGAUAGGAAAAACCCAGUGGGAAAAGUCCUAAGCGAAGGAAAAAGAGUACAACAUGCAUGUAUCAUGGAUGCUCCCCCUGAAUUGUAUCUCCCCCUGAUUCCGCAUUCUUCAAAUCUGUAAGCCGACGUAAUCCGAUUCCCUGUACCAACUUCUGAAAUGUGCACUUUGGUA